GUUUGUCGCUUAUCCUACCUACCAUAAACAGUUGAAUUCGAUGAUCAGUUUUCACUUUCAGAUCUUAAAGUCUGCGGUUGCUUCACUAAACCUACAUGCUUCUGCAAGGCAUCUUACUUUAUAAGAUCUUCUGUGAAUCGUUUCCAUCAAUGCAUCAGUCAAUCAAUCUUCACCAACACCACACGCCAUCAGCAUCUCUAUUUUGUUGUUUCUUCUAAUGAAAACAGCUCUCCAUGAGAGUUCUGAUGAGUUCGAGUGAUGAAUGAGGACACAGUUUGGUGAGAGUAAGUGAAAAUCACACUCUCUUCCUCCACUCAGCGAC
rnacentral:lncRNA from 1 species